GGAUAUGUGGAUGAAAAGUCUUAAUUGGAACUGUGACUUGUAAACCCACCGUAAGUUUAUUUGGUUUUCACCUGGAAUUUCUAUUUGGAACCCGCCCCCUCCUGGAAUUUUAAGGACCUCUGCAACUCUGAACAAAGGGAAAUGCCCAAGAUGUCCUGAUCUAAUUAGUUUAAUUCUUUGGGACUUGUUAAGCAUUUCAAAAGAAUUAGACUAACAGAUUCCUGUGAAAUUCUGUGUGUGUUCCAGCUAACAUCCAUCAAAGUCUAGAAACAGAUGUUUUCAGUGCUGCUGAGAGAAACAAAAAAAUGUCCUAAUGCAUCUGAGAGAUAAGCUUCUGCAGUAUCACAAGAAGAUUAAAGUGGCAGACACUCCUUCCAGCGGAAGUUACUAAUUCGGACCUGACUGAUGCAGUUCCCAUAGCAACCUGUGUUUCCCGGGAAACCCGAAAAGGUUGUCAUGGCAUCUCUUGCUCUCUAGCCCCACCCCCUAGCCCUUGCCGUUUCCACUGUAACCUUUCCAGAUGGUUCCUACUUACAUGAUUUCACAAGGAAAACCGCUAUUUGAAUAAACCGCACAAAUAAAGUUCAGUCUGAGAAACUGAGGUGGUGAAAUGAAUUACAAAAAUGCAUAUUUGUACUACAAAAAAAAUCACUGAUGUCAUCCCCAUAAUUACUGAAUCGACAAGGAAAAUAUCGUCAUUGGAAUGUUAAAUAUACCCCACAAUAAGCCAUGAUUUGAAUUAAAUACCAGUAAUUAGGCAAUCAUUUUAAAAGAUGCUUCUCUACUGUUUUCUUUCCCCCAAGAAGUUUCAAGUCAACAAAUGAAAUUAAAAAGCAAAUGUAAAUGUGUUCUGCACAUAAGCAAAUGCAAGAUGCAAUCCGUUAUACCUGAAACCUUACUACAAGGGACCUUCAGAUUUCCUCUUUAAAAAAAAAAAAAAUCCAGAUUCCACAACAACACUAUCACUAUCACAGCCCUUGAAAAACUAAAUGUGCUUGAAAACUAUAAAGGAUGCACUCUUUUAACUAAGGGAAUUGCAGACAAUCAAUAAAAAGGAGGGACAGGAAGUAACCAAACCUUGGAGAAAUACCUGCAAGAUUCAGCCUUGUGCCAGGGGUUGCCAGAAGACAGACAGUAUCAGGGAGCCCCCAACCUCACCCUCACCCCUCCCUGGACAGCACAAAGGUCUGGGGAAUCUCUAUGCAGAUCCCCACGAAUUCUUUAGAAUGAAAAUCAGCAUUAUGCCUGUGGGUUACAGAUACCCGAGGAGCCCCACAUAAAGAAGUGUAGAGCUGAACCAACCAGUAGGAUGCACAUUCCAAAUUGCCUACAUCAAGAAUACAGUGUAGGUUGUAUCAUGGAUGGGCGAUGAUCUGUCGGCCAGCACAUAUUUUUGUUCCAGUUGACAUUAAAUAACAUCUCUCGCUAACGAAUGCUUCAUAUAAAGGAAACAGCUCUGAGGCCAGAGGAUUUUCUUCAGAUUGUGUGCAAUAUAAAAGGUUGACCAAGAGAUAAAGAAGAACAUUAAAAAUUACUAAGGUAUCAUUUCAAUCUUUGACAUUUUGAUGACGUUUAAUCAUUCAAAAACUAAUCAGUACUGCUGAUAAAGACUAAAUGUUUGUUUCCAACAAGCCAACUUUUUACUGUUUUCUUCUUUUGGUUCAUUACUGGACUGUGUUUAAUCCUCUUGUAUAUUAAUGUUAUCUUUUAUGUUCUGGUUUACAUGGAGUUCCCGUCGUGGCUCAGUGGGUAACGAAUCCGACUAGGAACCAUGAGGUUGCGGGUUCGAUCCCUGGCCUUGCUCAGUGGGUUAAGGAUCCAGUGUUGCUGUGAGCUGUGGUGUAGGUUGCAGACAUGGCUCGGAUCUGGCGUUGCUGUGGCUCUGAUGUAGGCCAGCAGCUACAGCUCGGAUUCGACCCCUAGCCUGGGAGCCUCCAUAUGCCGCAGGAGCAGCCCAAGAAAUGGCAAAAAGACAAACAAACAACAAACAGCCAAAAAAAAAAAAAAAAAA
rnacentral:lncRNA from 1 species